rnacentral:rRNA from 1 species
CAGUAGCCGCGGUAAUACGAAGGGGGCUAGCGUUGUUCGGAAUUACUGGGCGUAAAGCGCACGUAGGCGGAUCGAUCAGUCAGGGGUGAAAUCCCAGGGCUCAACCCUGGAACUGCCUUUGAUACUGUCGAUCUGGAGUAUGGAAGAGGUGAGUGGAAUUCCGAGUGUAGAGGUGAAACUCGUAGAUAUUCGGAGGAACACCAGUGGCGAAGGCGGCUCACUGGUCCAUUACUGACGCUGAGGUGCGAAAGCGUGGGGAGCAAACAGGAUUAGAUACCCCCGUAGUCCCUGUCUCUUAUAC